GACUUUCAGUAGGGAGGAAGGUAGUGUAGUUAACACCUGCAUAUUUGACGUUACCUACAGAAGAAGACACCGGCUAACUCCGUGCCAGCAGCCGCGGUAAUACGGAGGGUGCGAGCGUUAAUCGGAAUUACUGGGCGUAAAGACGCAUGCAGGCGGCCUGUUAAGUUCAGAUGUGAAAGACCCGGGGCGUUAACCUCCGGAAAUUGCAUUUGAAACUAGGCAGGCUAGAGUCUUGUAGAGGGGGGUAGGGAAGUUUCUAGGUGUAGCGGUGAAAUAGCGUAGAGAUCUGAAGGAAUACCAGUGGCGAAGGCGGCCCCCUCGGACAAAGACUGACGCUCAGAUGCGAAAGCGUGGGGAGCAAACAGGAUUAGAUACCCUGGUAG
rnacentral:rRNA from 1 species